CGGACCAAGGAGUUUAGCGUGUGCGCGAGUCACUGGGUGGAAAACCUACAGGCGCAAUGAAAGUGAAGGGGGCUUCUGGCCUCUGAGGGAGGAUGGGCGUUUGCCUUCGCAGGCACCGCUCCGCACUCCCGGGGCGUCUCUACCUCGUUACGAGUGGAGGCGCACCUAUAGCGCACACGCUGAUACCCGAAAGAUGGUGAACUAUGCCUGACCAGGACGAAGCCAGGGGAAACCCUGGUGGAGGUCCGCAGCGAUUCUGACGUGCAAAUCGAUCGUCAAAGUUAGGUAUAGCGGCGAAAGA
rnacentral:rRNA from 1 species